CGCCAAGCAGAUCAUCACAAGCGGAAUUUCUCAAAUAGGGCAAGUUCCUCUAUCUGCUUGGCUAGAAAAACACCAGGUUUGCUUUCAUCACUGUAGAAUAGUUGCAGUGUUGACAAUGAGGCCUGGAAUACCC
ensembl:snoRNA